GACGAACGCUGGCGGCGUGCCUAAUACAUGCAAGUUGAGCGCUGAAGCUUUGUUCUUGUCCCCUCUGGAUGAGCCGCGAACGGGUGAGUAACGCGUGUGGCAUCUGCCUUUGAGUGGGGGACAACAUUUGGAAACGAAUGCUAAUACCGCAUAAAAACUUUAAACACAAGGUUUAAGUUUGAAAGAUGCAAUUGCAUCACUCAAAGAUGAUUCCUCGUUGUGUUAGCUAGUUGGUGAGGUAAAGGCUCACCAAGGCGUGGCUACAUAGCCGAACUGAGAGGGCGGUCGGCCACAUUGGGAGUGAGACACGGCCCAAACGCCCACGGGAGGGAGCAGGAGGGAAACUUGGGCAAUGGAUGGAAGUCUGAGCGAACAACGCCGCGGGAGUGAAGAAGGUUUUCGGAUCGUAAAACACUGUUGGUAGGGAAGAACGUGGUUGAGAGUGGAAAGCUCAUCAAGUGACGGUAACUACCCAGAAAGCAACGGCUAACUACGUG
rnacentral:rRNA from 1 species